rnacentral:rRNA from 1 species
UGAAAACUUGACUUAGUUAAAGCUAAGAGGGCCGGUAAAACUCGUGCCAGCCACCGCGGUUAUACGAGAGGCCCAAGUUGAAAGACCCCGGCGUAAAGCGUGGUUAAGUUAAAAUUUGUACUAAAGCCGAACAUCUUCACGGCUGUUAUACGCACCCGAAGAUAAGAAGUUCAACCACGAAGGUAGCUUUAUUUAAUCUGAACCCACGAAAGCUACGGCACAAACUGGGAUUAGAUACCCCACUAUGCCUAGCCCUAAACAUUGAUAGUAUACUACACCCACUAUCCGCCUGGGAACUACGAGCAUUAGCUUAAAACCCAAAGGACUUGGCGGUGCUUUAGAUCCACCUAGAGGAGCCUGUUCUAGAACCGAUAACCCCCGUUCAACCUCACCUUUCCUUGUUUUCCCCGCCUAUAUACCGCCGUCGUCAGCUUACCCUGUGAAGGUCUAAUAGUAAGCAAAACUGGUAUAACCCAAAACGUCAGGUCGAGGUGUAGCGUAUGGGAAGGGAAGAAAUGGGCUACAUUCGCUACUACAGCGAAUACGGACGAUGCACUGAAACGUCCAUCUGAAGGAGGAUUUAGCAGUAAGCAGAAAAUAGAGUGUUCCGCUGAAAUUGGCCCUGAAGCGCGCACACACCGCCCGUCACUCUCCCCAAGCCCACCAACCUAAUUAACUAAACCCUAAUAAUCGCAAAGGGGAGGCAAGUCGUAACAUGGUAAGUGUACCGGAAGGUGCACUUGGAAAAAU